AUUGAACGCUGGCGGCAGGCCUAACACAUGCAAGUCGAGCGGAUGAAGGGAGCUUGCUCCUGGAUUCAGCGGCGGACGGGUGAGUAAUGCCUAGGAAUCUGCCUGGUAGUGGGGGAUAACGUCCGGAAACGGGCGCUAAUACCGCAUACGUCCUGAGGGAGAAAGUGGGGGAUCUUCGGACCUCACGCUAUCAGAUGAGCCUAGGUCGGAUUAGCUAGUUGGUGGGGUGAAGGCCUACCAAGGCGACGAUCCGUAACUGGUCUGAGAGGAUGAUCAGUCACACUGGAACUGAGACACGGUCCAGACUCCUACGGGAGGCAGCAGUGGGGAAUAUUGGACAAUGGGCGAAAGCCUGAUCCAGCCAUGCCGCGUGUGUGAAGAAGGUCUUCGGAUUGUAAAGCACUUUAAGUUGGGAGGAAGGGCAGUAAGUUAAUACCUUGCUGUUUUGACGUUACCAACAGAAUAGGCACCGGCUAACUUCGUG
rnacentral:rRNA from 1 species